GGUUUUAAAUAUGUCUUCGUAGUGAAAUUUGAAGAAGGAGAAAAAAUGGGGAACAAAAUAAGAAAAUGGAGAAGUAUGAGUCGUGGAGAAUGAAGAUUGUAUAUAAGAGACGAAGUCAGAUAUAUUUGAUUUCCUAAUCUAUCUUAUUAGAGGAGUUGGUGUUACAGCUAUACCGAAGUAAGCAUGCCAGAUCCAGAGCCGAUGGUCAGCGACAGCUUCAAGGAUCAUCGUCGGGUGGCUGCCCUUGUAUCCACUAGUAAAUUGGUCUAUCCACACUGUCGGACAAUUCUUCCACUCCCAGUGCAUACAAUCGAUGCUCCCUAGCAUUCCAGGAAAGUUGUGCGCCGUCUCGUUCAUUUUCAUCAGGGCCUGGCAAUCCACAACAGUCGGCUUCCGCAAAUAUGUGUUGCUAAAAGCCUCCACAACUCCCCUACAAAAAUUCUUCAAGCAAUCACAGCCAGUUGUCUCCCCGACAUAAAGGUACUCGUCGAACAUAUCCGUCGUGGUGCCGUAGGGCAACUGCCGGAGCGCAACCGUGUACUUCUGCAACGGCGUAAGUCCGGGUUUGCCGAUGCCAUCUUCUCGAUACUGGAAGUAUUCAUCACGAGCCUCCAACGUUUGGACAAUGCUGAGAAAAAAUUCUCGCUGCAUUCUGAAACGGCGAUGAAAAACGGUCGGGCCCCACCGUGGUUGCUCAGCAAAAUAGUCUGCGAACAGACGUUGGUGAGCUACGUCGUGCUCGCGGCGAACUAACGUCCGGCGUCGAAUUGGCCUCGGGAUCUGCUCCGACGCUUCGCGCUCGCCCUCUAUUUAGCAAGCAUUUUGCCGCGGCCUCCUGAACGCAAUCGAAUACGGCCCGAGUAAUGCCCUCCGAUGUACUCCAGUCAUAGCUGGGAUUCAUUUUUUUAGUGACAAAGUUUAGGGAGAUAAAUAUUGGAAAGUGAGAGAUGGGAGAGAAUAAAUUGGUGCGGGAAAUGGAAGUGAAAUGGGGGUUUAAAUAGAUAAAAAUUUUGAAAAAAAUAAAGGAAAACAUGUUGCAUCAUCCGCGGUAUUGUCCACGUCGCCCGCGGUGGGGGCGGACAAUACCGCAGACGAUGCAUGGUCGAACGUCUAUCAUCUGCGGACAAUGGAUUAGCCAUCGUCCGCAUGGCUACAGUGGCGGACGAUCGUCCGCCCCAUUGUGGAUGCUCUUAUUAGGUCGACCCUAUAAGGAACCAAAUCCCAAACGUGCGUGUUCGUAUUGAGUUAACUUCGUGCGGAUUUAUGUGGGAUUAUCGUGUCAGAUAAAAAAUUGUCAGCCUCAAGGCAGUGCGGCGUUAAGCGCGAUUUCUUCUUUGCUAAGUCCCUCUAUUUAUAGGAUGGCUCCCAGCUUCCUCCUUAUUUGACUUUGUGCCCUUGUAGCAAAGGUAUCUUCUACUUCUCUAUUUCUUUGUAUUCCUGGAAAUGCCAGCUUGCCAUCUAGCUUCCUUGAUCAGUUGGAUGGCUUUUCUA